GAAGAAGAAGGUAGAGGAGAUGGACACACGAAAAUCCGGAUACGUCGAGAGACGAACUUCUUAACCCCCCUUUUUUUUUUUUUUCUCUUUCCUCUUUCUUUUGUUUAGC
rnacentral:ribozyme from 1 species